UGCCUUGCAAUGCGUCAUAAUUAUCUGGACUACUAACUUACUUCCAUAUAACUUCGAAAACAGACAAUAAUCUAUUUCAUUGGAUGAGAUUGGGCUCACGGAUUUUUUAAUGGAUUGGACAAGAAAUAUAGAAAAAUAUAAACAGUUACAAAAGAAAUGAGCGCAAAACAAGAUAAACAGAAUACAACAAGGCCUAAAUGGUCAGAUAUCUUGGUUUUUAUGAUCAUCAACAGGUCCUGCAGGUCUAUACUGAAGAGGAAUUUUAAUUGUUAAUACUUUUCUACAUAAUGUGCUAAUUGGAUUAUUAAUGUGAAAUGAACUCAACUGUGUGUUUUUCUGGAAAAAGAAAUAGAAAAAAAUCCUACAAAAUUGCUAUAAACAAAAUAGAGUACUAUCAAAGAACACAAUUGCGUAAAAUGUAACAACCUACAUUCAUAUUCACUGAUGGAUCAUGGAGAAAUUAAGAAAAAUAAUAGUAUAUAUAUGUCAUGUUUGUUGUCGAAAUAAACACCUGCUUU